UCAGGUAACCACUAAGCAUUUGGAUAAGCCGUAGAGCAGACCGUAUUAAGCAUUUGAACUGCUUGCUGCCCUACAUAAGCAGUUCGAAUGCAUAGCUGCCUUGAAUUAGCAUAAGCUGUGCUGCUCAAAAGCUUUUGGCUGUUAAUUAGCACUUCAACUGCUUGAGGUGUUUUCGCCUGAAAGCAUUCAGAAUGCAUUUUAACUGCUCUUCAAAUGCUAAGAGCAAAGAGUAUGGAAGAUAUGUUACGUGUUUGAUAACGCAUGUUGUCUCUUUCUUACAUAGUAUAUGCCUCUGUUGACAUAUUUGUACAUCUGAGUUCCUUAUUCAUUUUUCCCUUGGUUUUUCCCGUACUCAUCAAAAAGCUCCGCAGCAACAUUGCUGCAGCUGGUUCAGAUUAGGAACAUGGCCAUCAAACAAUUACCAUGUAUCAUUUCGUCGAAAAGUAUGUACCGAAUCUAUGAAUGCUUUGGCGGGUCAUAAAAUUAUGCGAAAGAGGGAAUCAUAUGCUAGAUCGAAGAGGGAAUGAAAAUGCUUUGUGCACAGAAAACAAGUUUUGGGUGUUGGAACGGAAGCUGCUUCCGAAUUAUUCUUUAUAUUGGGGGUUAAAUCAGCGCACGCCAUCGGAACAGCUGUGGCGUAUCCUGUAGCGCGGAACUGAAACUUGAGCAGCAAACAUGGAAUAAUCUGUGGAUCGUAAGUUCAAAUCCAAAUAACUAUUAAAAUAUGCAAAAAAAAGUACGAUCUAACAUCACCUGGGGUGUGCAAGGACGAGGAAGCGCGAAGAGCGAGGAGCGGACGUUAAUCUAUUUUUGGUUUGUUUUGCUCGACGAGGCGUUACGCUUCUUUGACAUUUUGAUACGACGUUCCUGAAGGUGUUGCACUGAGGCAGCCCGUUAUUUUGCCAAAACCUGCUGUGAGGUAGCACUAUAGGCGCAUAUACGGCCAAUUAGCAUUAAGUGCCUUGUCGUAAGGACUACUAUAAUGCUGGAGUAAUGCUAUUUUAAAUGCUUACUGGUUACUUGGGU